AAUGAACGCUGGCGGCGUGCCUAACACAUGCAAGCCGGAUGUGCCGCAAGGUGCAUGGCAGACGGGUGAGUAACGCGUAGGGAAUCUACCUUUUUGUGGGGAAUAACGCUCCGAAAGGAGUGGUAAUACCGCAUGAGACCGUGAGCUGGGAUGUUCACGGUGAAACCUGGGGACCGCAAGGCCUGGGGCAAAAAGAGGAUCCUGCGUCUGAUUAGCUAGUUGGCGGGGUAAUGGCCCACCAAGGCGACGAUCAGUAGCCGGCCUGAGAGGGUGAUCGGCCACACUGGAACUGAGACACGGUCCAGACUCCUACGGGAGGCAGCAGUGGGGAAUUUUGCGCAAUGGACGAAAGUCUGACGCAGCAACGCCGCGUGGGUGAUGAAGGUCUUCGGACUGUAAAACCCUGUCGUCAGGGACGAAGGUGGCAGUGUUAAUAGCGCUGUUACUUGACGGUACCUGGAGAGGAAGCCCCGGCUAACUCUGUG
rnacentral:rRNA from 1 species